CAUAGGAGGAAGAUGGUAGUAGAAUCGCGCGUCACCCAGGAGGAAAUUAAAUUAAGAAGGAGCCGGAGAAGCCCAUCGACCGUGAGAAGACCUGCCCGUUGCUGCUCCGGGUCUUCACCACUAAUAACGGCCGCCAUCACCAAAUGGACGAGUUCUCCCGUGCGAACGUACCAUCCAGCGAGCUGCAGAUCUACACUUGGAUGGAUGCAACCUUGAAAGAACUGACUAGUUUAAUAAAAGAAGUCCACCCAGAAGCUAGAAAGAAGGGCACACACUUCAAUUUUGCAAUCAUUUUUACAGAUCUUAAAAGACCUGGCUAUCGAGUUAAGGAGAUUGGUAGCACCAUGUCUGGCAGAAAGGGGACUGAUGAUUCCAUGACCCUGCAGUCGCAGAAGUUCCAAAUAGGAGAUUAUUUGGACAUAGCGAUUACCCCUCCAAAUCGGGCACCACCUCCUUCAGGGUGCAUGAGACCUUAUUAAAUUCUAUUUACUAUUUCCUGAAUUUAUUUUUUGGUCAGUUAUGUAAAAUAAACUUAACAUGUUCUUUUUCCUCCUCUGAUUAUUGCCAUUAAGCCUUUAAAUUCUAAACAAAUUAUAAUGCAUCUAUUUAGGAGUUAGAUUUGGAUGUACUAUGGUAUGAAUA